CAAUAGCGUAUAUUAAAGUUGUUGCAGUUAAAAAGCUCGUAGUUGAAUUUCUGGUCAAUUUUAGUUUCGGCUUCGGUCGGUCUAAGGUUGGCCAUCCGUCUGCAAGCUAUUCUCGUCCUUCACUGUGUCGGUUUAGCGAGCUGACAUUUUACUUUGAAAAAUUAGAGUGUUCAAAGCAGGCCGUCUGCCUGAAUAAUGGUGCAUGGAAUAAUAGAAAAGGAUCUCGGUUCUAUUUUGUUGGUUUUCGGAACUUGAGGUAAUGAUUAAGAGGGACAGACGGGGGCAUUCGUAUUACGGUGUUAGAGGUGAAAUUCUUGGAUCGCCGUAAGACGAACUACUGCGAAAGCAUUUGCCAAGAAUGUUUUCAUUAAUCAAGAACGAAAGUCAGAGGUUCGAAGACGAUCAGAUACCAU
rnacentral:rRNA from 1 species